AAUCACUGUGGUGAGCUUACAGCGAACUAUUCUUUCGCCUUUUACUAAAGAAUACCAUACGCUCGCCACUUGAAGCAGCAUACGCCUAUUUUUGGAGGAGUCCUCUUCAGUGAGAACU